CAGCGUGCACGUCAGCUCAUCGCGUAUAUUGAAGUUGUAUUCAGUUAAAACGCUCGUAGUAGAAUUUCGGUAUCAACAUUCAAGGUCAUGGCGUUGGUAUACACUGUUAUUAUUGAUUUCCCACCUUCUACAGAACCGUAGUGCCAUUAACUUGGUGUUAUGGGGAAUUAUGACUGUUACAUUGAAAAAAGUAGAGUGUUCAAAGCAGGCGUCGUCAGGAGCACUCGUAUACUAAACUCGAGGGUAAUCUUGUGAAACUUCAUCGUGAUGGGGAUAGAGCAUUGCAAUUAAUGCUCUUCAGCGAGGAAUCCCUAGUAAGCGCAAGUCAUCAGCUUGUGUUAAUUACGUCCCUGCCCUUUGCACACACCGCCCGUCGCUACGACCGAUUGAAUGGCUUAGUGAGACCCUCGAAUUGGUAUUAAGAAGCUUUAACCGGCAUCGGUUUGCUGAGAAGUUGGUCGAACUUGGUCAUUUAGAGGAGGUAAAAGUCGUAACAAGGUUGCCGUAGGUGAACCUGCGGGAGGAUCAUUAAUGAUUUUUGAAGCGAGUCGAGCGUUAUGAGAGGCUUGCGAAAUAUUUAUAACCCCACUCUUUUUAACUGUUAAAAAAUAAAUCAUGAUCCAUGAAUUUAAAAAAAAAGGUCACUUUCAACAACGGAUCACUUGGCUCUCGCAUCGAUGCAGAACGCAGCGAAAUGCGAUAAGUAGUGUCAAUUGCAUACUUUUGUGAAUCAUCGAAUCCUUGAACGCAAAUUGCACUCCCUGGUAUUCAGGGGAGUAUUCCUGUUUGAGGGUCGUUAGCAUAAAAAAUCGAGGUGUCGCUCUUUUUUUGAAGGGUGAUAGCGUCGGAAUUGAGCCGUCUUUCAAAUGUCAAUUCAUGUCAAAGUGGCUCGAAAUUCAUGCAUCCGGUACGAUUAAAGCGUAUUUAAGAACAACUUUGAUUAAGAACGCUCGAUGAACGCACCAUCUCAUGUAGUACGUGUGACUUGACG
rnacentral:rRNA from 1 species